rnacentral:rRNA from 1 species
UUACCCUACGGGAGGCAGCAGGGAGGAAUAUUGGUCAAUGGGAGAGAUCCUGAACCAGCCAAGCCGCGUGAGGGAAGACGGCCCUAUGGGUUGUAAACCUCUUUUGUCGGAGAACAAAACCCGGGACGUGUCCCGGACUGCGUGUAUCCGAAGAAAAAGCAUCGGCCAACUCCGUGCCAGCAGCCGCGGUAAUACGGAGGAUGCGAGCGUUAACCGGAUUUAUUGGGUUUAAAGGGUGCGUAGGUGGUCCGUUAAGUCAGCGGUAUAAUUGCG